GUGAAAUCUUACAAACUCUUUCAUUCUUGCCAGUGACUUCAACUUUGAACACAGUGCUUGGCACACAGUAGAUAUCACAAAAUGUUGAGUGGAAAAAGUCUUAUCUUUGGAGUAUGUUUUGUAUCCAGAAUAACAUCAUUCCUUCUAUCUACCCCAUGGAGUAAAAGCAACCAAAAUCUCAUCUUAUGUGUUCUCAACAUACCAGAGACAGAAGGAUAGGACUGAAGCUACAGCCACUGGGAACUGUGAAAAUAUCAAACCCUGCCUAUUGUUUCUGUGCCACAGUUUAAAAUGUUUAUCAUUUAAUUGCAUUAAAAUACAUAUUCCUGUAAGAUUCUUUU
rnacentral:lncRNA from 1 species